GUUAAAACACCCGUUCUCAUCCGAUCACUGAUGUUAAGCAAUGUCGAGACUGGCCAUUACUUAAAUGAGUGACAGCUUGCAAAUACCAGGUGAUGUAAG